rnacentral:tRNA from 1 species
GCUCUGGUGGCUCAAUCGGAUAGAGCGUUGGACUUCUAAUCCAAAGGUUGUGGGUUCAAGUCCCGCCCAGAGUA